UGGUCAAGUUAUUAAGGGUGCAGGGCGGAUGCCUUGGCACUAGGAGCCGAUGAAGGACGUGAUAAGCUGCGAUAAGCUUCGGGGAGUUGCACGUAAACUUUGAUCCGAAGAUUUCCGAAUGAGGAAACUCACUUAGAGUAAUGUCUAAGUAUCAUUAAGUGAAUACAUAGCUUAAUGAGGGGAACUCAGGGAACUGAAACAUCUAAGUACCUGAAGGAAGAGAAAGAAAUUCGAUUCCGUAAGUAGCGGCGAGCGAACGCGGAUUAGCCCAAACCAAUAAAGUUUUCUUUAUUGGGGUUGCGGACAUAUCAUAACGAAGAGGUAUCGUAAUUGAAGAGGUUUGGAAAGACCCACCACAGAAGGUAAUAGUCCUGUAUGUUAAACGAGAAGACUUUAGAUAUGAUCCAGAGUACCACGGGACACGUGAAACCCUGUGGGAAGCAGGAGGGACCACCCUCCAAGGCUAAAUACUACCUAGUGACCGAUAGCGUAUAGUACCGUGAGGGAAAGGUGAAAAGACCCCCGGGAGGGGAGUGAAAUAGAACCUGAACCCCUGCACUUCCAAGCUGUGGAAGCCCAUUUCUUCUGUGACCGCGUACUUUUUUUAGAACGGGCCAACGAGUUACGUUAAGUAGCAAGGUUAAGCACUUAAGGUG
rnacentral:rRNA from 1 species